UACAGAGGUCUCAAGCGUUGUUCGGAUUCAUUGGGCGUAAAGGGUGCGUAGGCGGCGCGGUAAGUCGGGUGUGAAAUCUCGGAGCUUAACUCCGAAACUGCAUUCGAUACUGCCGUGCUUGAGGACUGGAGAGGAGACUGGAAAUUUACGGUGUAGCGGUGAAAUGCGUAGAUAUCGUAAGGAAGACCAGUGGCGAAGGCGGGUCUCUGGACAGUUCCUGA
rnacentral:rRNA from 1 species